GCUGUCAGCAGCAGCAGCGCGACGGCGGCGGCGGCGGCAGCAGCGGCGCGGCAGAGGCCUCAUUGUCUUGGCACCGAGAUUUGUUGCUCGGAAAAGCAAACCACUCAACACUUAAACACACUCUUCAACCAUUUCCAUUUCCAUCGCCUCGCUUCGCUCGUUUUAAUGUCAUAUAAAAAUUAAUUUGUUUGUCGCUCUCCCGCUCUCGCACGCCACCCUUCUCCCUCUGACCCACUCGCUCGCACAGCUGUUGUUGUGGCCUUUGUUUAGCGUUUUUCGAUUAACUUCUGCGGUUGGUUUUCCCUCUUUUUUUUUCUGUGGCUCCUGUUUUGCUGUUUAAGUGGAAAUCGUUGUUUUGUUGUCGCGUCGAAAAGUUUUUCCAAGCAAUUUUUCCUCCUUACUUGGUGUGUGUGUGUGCGUGUGUGUAAUUAAUCUGCACAUAUCAAACAAGCGAAUGUGUGUUGUGGCAUGUUGCACUCAGAGAGUUGGUAAUAGUUUAAUGGUUUGGUUAACUCCGCUGCAUUUUUAAUCGCUCUGCAAUUGGAUUGAAUUUUCCAGUUAGCACUUGCCUAGCUUAUUUAUUUGCGAUCCGCACGAACCUUCGUUAAUAGUUAAUUCGUUAUUCGCGCUGCUUGGUUUUUAGAUAAUUAAUGCGUCUUUAAUUGCAUACGAAGCGGAGUUAUAAUUUAAUUAUUUUGUUCUAUUAUCAGGCAAGCCCUAUUAAACAUAAUAUGUAUUACUAUUUAAGUAGUAAGAAAUUAUUAUUCCUCUAAUCACUAAGAUUAGUUUGAUUUUGAUCUUUCUGCUCUCUUUACCUAAUCGAUAUUAAAAUACCUAUGCAAUCCGAACCAAAUCUGGUGGUUUUACCACAAAACUAUGCAUCAAGAUGUUUAACUGAAGUCCCAAAGGGGAUUUUUGAAUAUCUGACCGCUGAGAGAUGUUACCUAAUCAUCAGGCUGAGUUUUAAGAACCCUUCAAAGCCCCUGGCAAGUAAAUUAAAAUCUGUGUAAAUAUGGGCUAUAAGCCGAAAACCCAGAAGCAACACUUUUAAUCCCGAUUUAGAGUGUUUAAAUGUUUUUCGGUGGGAUUUCCUAAGCCGAAACCCGGCAGCAAAAUACCUUCUAGGGUAAAACAGGUAGAGGAAAAACUCUUGGCCUUCGGCGAACUGAUGGAUUUAUUAGUUAAGAGCGUGCUGCGAUACUUUACGAUACGGCUUAGACAUAAUUUGCGGUUUUGCGUGCAACAAAGCGAAAAAAGUGUUGCCAAAAUAAUGUAUAUAUAUGAAUAUAUGCAUAUAUAUGUAUAUGUAUAUAUACUGGUAGAGAGUUGGAGAGUUUACGCACACGUUCCACAGCAUUUUCCCUUAUUAUUUGUUAUUUUUUAUGGCCACUUUGUCAGCGUCAUAAAUUCGCUGCUCCUGUAUGUGAAUUAUUUACUAGCAAAUUGCGGGAGCGGGCCGAUGGUAAGUGCAAGCCGGUGGUCGGUGGUCGGGGGUGUCAUAUAAAUAAUACAAAAAUAUUAUAAAUUACACGAAGACGAAGAAAUUGCCAAGCGGAAGUGCGGAACACCUUGAUACCGUGACUAAAGCGAUUUGCUUUCAGAGUACUGCUCACCCUGCAGCAUUUCAGCGUUGAUAACUUUAUUUUAUGCCUGCAGAGGUCUUGAUGCUAUGAUUACGAAAAAAAACCUUUCUUUAAAUUAUAUUAAGUUAUAUAAAUAAGUUAAUUUUGCAGCUGUAUGUAUGUAUGCAUGUAUGUAUGAAUGUAUGCUUCCAAUGAAACAGUUGGUAAACUAACAACAGAGCCCUUUGAAAAUCAGAAUGCUAGGUUUUUAUUACUAUACAUGACUAUAAUGAGAAGUUCCGAAUUCGAAUACUCUCGAUAUCUUUGCAGAAGUCGUAAAGGAAAGCGCCGAGAGAUAUCCAAAUGUAGUGGGAGAAAUUUGUAGCCGCGAAAACAUUUAUAUGAGGAAAAUAAAAAGGAAGUAUACUGGAUGCCACAACAACCAGAACAGCAACAAGAACAACAAACGGCGGAACGGCAGAGGCAGCACAUAAAAUUAACCACAUAUUUCUUCAUUUUUAUGGCAUUUAUUAUCACAGAAAUGUUUGUGUGAUAAAAGCGAAGCAGCGCAAAAGGCGAACGACGAUGAACGACGACGAUGGCGGCGCAGUCAUAAAAAUGCAGCCAUUUACCUUUUGAUUUAUGCACACCAGUGGGUGGUGGGUGGUGUGUGUUGGGUGUUGGGUGGAUGGGUGGUUUGCCUGCGGCCAGAGUGGGUGGCACGCAUGCAGAGCAACUGGCGAGCAAAAAGGAGCGAAAAAUAAUGCAAUAAAUUUGACAUUAUCUCCGGCAAUAUGAAGGUAUAUAUAUCCGUGAAGUGGUUCCACACUGGUGAGGGAAAGUCGUUUAACUGUCUGCGGAUUUUCAGUUGACUUACGCACAAAGAAGAAACCCCAACCGACCCACGAUAAUUGCUUUAUUUUGCCUGCUGCAUAUCCAUUCGCGCAGUCUUAAAAAAGCUAUCUUGGAAGACAUAUUUUUCCCUGAUUGGGGUGGGAAUAUAUGAAAUUUAAUGCCACAAACUUAAUUACUCUGAAGAUUUCUGCUUCAUCUCGGCGCUAUUUAUCUAAACUGGCAGUUCAAAGGCCUUUGACUUUGCUUUCAUACUAUUUGCUUUUAGUUUACUUGAUACAAAUAUCAGGCUUGUUCAUAAGUGAUUUCCCAAUUUUUUACGCUUGAUAAGCCAUUCUGCUAUUUUCCCUCAUAUGGCUUAUGUUUCACCAUAAUUACUUCCGAUUUGAAUGCGUCUACGUGCCGUGCAGCUAGACAAUAACUCACUUCGCAACGCGGAAGGGCGAAAGUGCCAUUUAAAAAAUUGAAAAACAAACUGCAAUAAAUUCAAUAGAACCGUAUGAAAGCGAACUAAGCAGGCACACAGAGCGACGGAUCCGUAAAAAAUGUAUCCCGGACUCUGUGAAGGGGAAGCGGAUGCAGAGCGUGUCCCGCUGCGAAUCGAGCUGAAUCCGAAACCCAGCUGAAGUCCGAGCUCCGCCUGCUGCCUGUCGAUAAUUUAUCGACGGCGAUUUAUCUCGUAAUAGUUGCCCAAAAAGGAAGAAGAAUAAUGGUGACAUUGAAAUUUUACGGUAAUGCACCAAAAAAGGGGAUUCUUUUUGCCAACUGCGGGUUGUGUUUGCAACACCCCCUGUGUGUGGCAUCGCUUGCUGGAUUAAUACUGCAAAUUAAUCGUUGCCAAUGCUCCCCUCAAAAAAGAUUGGAACAAUGGACACACACACACACCAAAAAAAAAAAAGAAAAAAGUGGAAAUACCUACGAGUUGACACGUGCAGGAUUCUAAAAUGAUAAAUUGAUGGCAUCGAUUUUUAUUGCCAUUUCGGGUAUUAAGUAUUAAUUGCCUACAACAUCCGAUCUGACGGAUUUGGGUCCAGGGGCGGAGAUUCCUGUUGAUAUACGGCGGUUAUUGAUAAAGGUUUAAGCUAGGAAAUAAAUCACGUGAAUUGUAUUUAUGAGAACGAAAUAAUGAGCUGUACUGAAUCGCAAGGAAUAUAGAUUUCAAGGGGUUUAUAGAUAGAGGAAGUACGUUCUAAUGUAAAAAUCAUGCUUCUAUACACAAAUAGUCUUCAAUUUAGGAUUUUAGGAAACAUCCAUGUAGUUCCAAAGAUUUACUCGUAGCACCAUCUGCUAGGUACAGAAUUAAAUGUACUUGGCAUGAAUCGGUGAGUUCGGACCAUUUUUCCAAAUUAAACUGCAGGCAGGUCUCUAAUUCCCGCAAAGGAAAAUGGCAAUCCGGAGUGGAACUGUCACGGCCAAAUAAAUGACGCGUGACUGUCGCAUCUGCGAAGGAAUCGAUAGGAAGGUAGAAGAACAGGAGGAGUACGAUGGUCCAACUGUCAGACGCAGCUUGAUGCAGAAAAUCACCACGAACAAAGGACACUCCGAAUGUCGAUGCCAAUGCCAAUUCCAAUGCCAAGGACGAGACGAAGGCCGAGCUCGGAACGCACUUUGAUAAAUGCGUCAUAAAAUGAGCAAUUAUCACGUGCGUCCAGCGCAGCUGAGCGACAAUUAAAAACCAAACACAGACGGCGAGGAACAGAGCAUCAAUAAAAUUAUUUGUCAAAAUGUCAGGAUGCACGCAACGGGAGGGAGGGGACGUCGAAGGACGCAGGACGCAGGACGACGACAUCGAGGGGAGUGACUGGAUGACAAUGGCAGGACAGGCUGCGGGAUAUACGCAGAAGUGUCAACUUUGGUGGCUGGCAAUGAAUGACGAACCAUAAAUCAAGGACAAUGGCCUGCCUGCCGCGAUCGUCCUUAACUCAGCCUGGGCAAGUCCUCGGAUGUCCUUGAUUGACCGCACUCCUCGGCCGUCUUUGCCGGAGCUGAAAAAUUAGCGAGUAAAUCAAUAAACAUGGCCAGACUCUCGCCGGCUCGUUAAACUGCGUCGUUCCUUCGGAGACCAUAAAAAUUCAGCGUUGUCGAUAGAUUUCCCAUGAUAUAUAGGGCCAUAAUUUACGUUCUCUUUAUCAAGGCGAGCACACAUGGGCGGGAAGGCGGCAGGACGGCAGGCCGGCAGGACGAGUUGGCCAGGGGAAACACCUUAUGGAUGGCUAUAUCCUGUGCUCGCCAGGAAGCGCCAGUCGUUGUAGCCGUAGUCGCAUUGGGACCUGGCUCAGUUGUUGUGCUCCAGCUCUGCUCUGAUUGAAUCGGGAAGGUCAUAAAGAUUUUUAUGUUUGGCCAUAAAUAUUUUGUUUGUUGUUCUGCUGAUGCUCGCUGGGUACUGGGUGCUGGGUGCCUGUGCAAAUGUUUUCCUCUGCUCGUUCUGUUCGAUUAUGAUAUAUGGAAUGGCAAGCGUUGUGAAUAUUUUUAGAGAACCCGUAAGUAACACAAAGAGCAUGGCUUAUGAUGCAUUGAUUUAUAAUAGAUCUGUAUGAGCCAAGGUACAGAAAAAGGGGAAAAAUAUGAUUAAUAUGAAUAAGGUUUUGAGUGUUUAACAAGCUACGAUACUUGCUCAUAUGCUUUUUAUUGCUUCCAAUAGUAGAGCUUCCACAGACUAUGGCGACUUAUUUGAAUGCUGAGGGUAUUGAAAUAAUUGCGAUGCUCAACGCUACGCUCGAUUUCAAAGCGACUGUAUUUACAUAAAUUCAGAAUCGACGCACAAGAACCACCAAAGUCGGCACUUUUGUGUGUUCUGUUCGCUUCGCUGAGAAAGACGGGCUGACAGCGAAAUUCACACCUCAUUUGAGGCACCUCACGCUCCAAACUCGAGAAGAGACCCAUGCCCAAAGCCCAGAGCCGAUAAAAACCCAAGCCCGGAGGGAAACCCAGGCAAGCCGAGACGAGUGCUAAUGUUGCGCAUAAUAAUUUUGUACUAAAUUAAAUAGUGUGUGGGUCGACAACGUCUGUCGGUGGUUUUUACAUUUCUACAUGCAUAUACAUAUAUAUAUCUGUGUGCUUCGGAUGGAUCUUUCUGGUCGGGCUGUGACUUCACGUCUGGCCAACAUGUUGCUGGUGCAGCGUUUUGUUCUUUUUCCGCCGCCACUUGAGCCGCAAAAGGAUAUAAUUUAGUUUUUAUUGCGCAAGGGUUUUGCCUCACUUUUCCCGUAUAACUCUUCACGUUCGGAGGAUUCAUCAGCUAUGCAUGGCGUGUUUGUUCUUACUCGUACAAGGGUCCUUUACGACUGUCGGGCAUUUUGUUGGACCUGUUAUUUGUUAUUGCUGCUCAGUCGUCGCUUCCUUUGAGCUGACUACUCAUUCGCAUUUCGCUCGCAUCUCUCCGAUUUCAGUGCUACUUUAUUGAUGGACCUGCGUAUCGUCACGAGGUUGCAUAAACUCGAAAGUAGCACUCUUUAUUGUCUUUGGAAUCUGGCGGCUCUUUUAAGGAAGUUUUAAAAUCGAUAUAUCUUUCGUCUUUAAACAUUAUGUUUAUGGGAUGGGCCAAUAGAAUUGAUUUUUUAAAAUGCCAGAUUAUUGUUUUUUUAAAUACACCCUCUUAACCGCCUAAAGUAAACUCACAACUUACUUUUAAUUGGCGCCCCACACUCAAAAUAUAUUUACCGUGCCCAUUGAUUUGAAUGUAAUCGUCUUUUGAGCAGGCCAUCACAUAAAACCCUUUUUUGUACCGAAAGGAUUUUCACCCCGUCCCGAAUACAGAUACUCAUUCUCGGCUGCUCAGCAUUACUUCUGCUUACUUUGGCAAUCUAUGCGAACAGAAGCGACCAGGGGCAAGCUACCCAAGUGAGACAUUUGCUUGUGGGCCAAAGUGAAAGCAUCUCGUUUUCAUUUCAUUUAAAAUGCUGUCAGCACCUAACCCCAGACCCGACUUCCCCCACCAUCUGCCUCCGAGACCCGGCGACGUCUUCAUGUCCUUUUUUAUGGCACUUUCAACGCGUCAUUGAGUAAGCCGCGGCGCGCACUCAUCAGCAUCAACAUCAGCAUCAGCAUCAGUGGAAGCGGAAUGGACUUGGAGUGUGUUUGCAAGUGGGUGAGUGGAAUGAAAGUGCUGCCCCAUCCCCAACCUCAGCCGCAGAGCAUUCGAGCUGAAAAUGAAGACGUUUGGAAUGGCGGCAAGGUGGAAUCCGCAGAUAGCCAUCGGCACUCUUAGAUACCCAUCAGCAGUGCAUGCUUUUAUUUGUAAUGAUAAUGGACAGCCAUAUAGGAGAUGACAUAUUUCAAUUUAAAGGGUAUAUUUCUACUGUUUUCAAAUCAACUUGUUUAUUGGAACUAAAGCUAGAAAUGCAGACAAUAUCGCAAUAUCAUUAUUAUAUUACUAAACAAAGCCCUAAUGUAUUUUUAAAAAUAUGUGUAUUUAAAAUAUCAAGUUUUUCAUUAUUCUUUUGUAUUCUUUCUGUCUGCACAUCUUAGUAUUUAACCUAAUAUGUCAGUUCACAAAGCUACCCCCAGUAGAGGGUAUCAAAGGACCCGGAGUGCUCGAUUGAGAGCACACCGAGAACAGGCCGGACUACUUCCUCGUGCGAUAGAGUGCGUUCAUAAUCAAAUUAGAAGCGAAGCGUAAGAUCAAAGGCUAGACGCGGACGACGCUCAUUUAACUGAGGGCGCAAGGCGGAAAAAGUAGGCGCGACAUAAUGCCCGAAAUGUCCAAAACACACAUGCACACUGCGAGAAAAGGGUGUGGGGUUCUUAGAGGGUGCGGUGAGAGGGCCAGGUACCACGAUGCGCCACAAAAGAUGACGAGGGGUCUUGUCCAUAGUCUUUGACAAGCUGGAGUGGAAAUGACUGCGCACCCGGACCAAAGGAACCCCCGAUCCGGACCAGAAUCGGACCAGAAUCGGCGCUGCGCCUGAAGAAGACGUCUCAUUAAUGACAACAAGGAGCCCGUGCAGAAGAAAAAGCUUGCCUCCGAUUCCUCGAAAGGAUCCGCAGCCGUGGCGUUGGGCAUCUCAUCGCAUCGCAUCGCAUGGCAUCGCAUCGCUCUCGAAUAAUUGAAAAAGUGGAUAGACAGAGGAAAACCAAAUCCCCGGCCCUGGAUGCGGAAUGAUUUUCAUGUUGAAUCACUGACGACGACAGGUUAAAUGUUUUCAUUAUGAGUUCAGUUGAUUCGAGUCGAGUCGAGUUGAGCCGCGGGCUGACGUCAGUUUCGCCCCAUAAUUGGAGCUGCACUCAAGUGCCCUCCACCUCGGGCUCCUCAAUCCUUGACAGCGUCAGCCAUCCUCGCUCGCCCUAAUGAAAAACCCUUUUGUUCGCAUCCCCCCCUCGCCGCUCUUCCCGGUCACUGGAAAUGCAAUUUUAUAUCUUCAAAUGCCCUACAGAAGCUGGAUGUACUGCAGCCUUAUAAGCGUUCGUGGCCAUAUUUUGCACAAUUUGAACUGUUUGCCGUUGACAUUAGCAGAAGCUUAGUCCCCGCUGUCUCAGGGCUGUCAGAAGAGUCCUGUCGGUGUUGCCACGUCUCGGGCAGAAAACAAUUCCUGACAACGGCGAUGACUUCUGGGACGAAAAGCAGCAGUUGGGAGAGAAGUGGAAAUGAAAUCUGAAAUAUUGUUCUGUAAAUGCGUGCCGUGUGAAGAUCAGGCUCCUUCCGCUGCGAAAAUGCAAAUGGCAUCAACUGGUAAACUGGUCCACCGGCCACCGGUCACCAGUCACUGGUCUUCGGUCACUGGUCUCUGGUCUCUGGUCAGUCAACAUUUCACAGCAAAUUAACACCACAAAUCUGUGAUGUGCUGCGAUGGCCAUUCCCAUCAUCCCAUCAACCAACCACCCAAAUCGUUAGAGCCGCAGAACAGACUGAAUGAGACCCAAAACUCCAUGGCUGACAGCUUAACUGACCAUUAAUUUACAUUUAAAUGGAAAAUGGCUGAGGUGAGGAAACCGAGUGAGUAGUGGCGUACCUAAGCACAGAUUUCUCAUCUCGAGACUUUUCUCACACACUCACUAGCCGUACAAUUUUUGGGAUAAAAAUUACGAGGAGGUGGAGUGCAGGGAAAACGGGGGAAAUUUGCAUAUUUCCAACAUAUUUUUCUGCAGAUUGUGGAACAAAUUUAUACUUUACGAGCAGGAACGAACCAUUUUACAGUUGAUUUACUUUCUACGCUUCACCAAGAAUAUACGUAUGAAAAAUAUAGAGAAAUAUCAGAGAAAAAUUCUCAAAAAUUGGGUAAUUUUAAAAAAUGAAAUAAAUAUCGAGUUAUUUUAUGUUGUUCAGUGAGAAUUUGAGGAAAUAAUAAUGAAGAGACUCUUAGA